GAACCACUUCGGUGGGGAUUAGUGGCGAACGGGUGAGUAACACGUGGGCAAUCUGCCCUGCACUCUGGGACAAGCCCUGGAAACGGGGUCUAAUACCGGAUACUGACCAUCUUGGGCAUCUUUGAUGGUCGAAAGCUCCGGCGGUGCAGGAUGAGCCCGCGGCCUAUCAGCUAGUUGGUGAGGUAAUGGCUCACCAAGGCGACGACGGGUAGCCGGCCUGAGAGGGCGACCGGCCACACUGGGACUGAGACACGGCCCAGACUCCUACGGGAGGCAGCAGUGGGGAAUAUUGCACAAUGGGCGAAAGCCUGAUGCAGCGACGCCGCGUGAGGGAUGACGGCCUUCGGGUUGUAAACCUCUUUCAGCAGGGAAGAAGCGAAAGUGACGGUACCUGCAGAAGAAGCGCCGGCUAACUACGUGCCAGCAGCCGCGGUAAUACGUAGGGCGCAAGCGUUGUCCGGAAUUAUUGGGCGUAAAGAGCUCGUAGGCGGCUUGUCACGUCGGUUGUGAAAGCCCGGGGCUUAACCCCGGGUCUGCAGUCGAUACGGGCAGGCUAGAGUUCGGUAGGGGAGAUCGGAAUUCCUGGUGUAGCGGUGAAAUGCGCAGAUAUCAGGAGGAACACCGGUGGCGAAGGCGGAUCUCUGGGCCGAUACUGACGCUGAGGAGCGAAAGCGUGGGGAGCGAACAGGAUUAGAUACCCUGGUAGUCCACGCCGUAAACGGUGGGCACUAGGUGUGGGCAACAUUCCACGUUGUCCGUGCCGCAGCUAACGCAUUAAGUGCCCCGCCUGGGGAGUACGGCCGCAAGGCUAAAACUCAAAGGAAUUGACGGGGGCC
rnacentral:rRNA from 1 species